GGGAAUGAAGAGGGAAAAGCCCCAAAUUUGUAAUCUGGCUCUUUAAGAGUCCGAGUUGUAAUUUUAAGAACUGUUUUCAGUGCUGGACCAUGUACAAGUCUUCUGAAAAGAAGCAUCAUAGAAGGUGAUAAUCCUGUUCAUGAUAUGGACUACCAGUGCAAUAUGAUGCAGUCUCUAAGAGUCGAGUUGUUUGGGAAUGCAGCUCAAAGUGGGUGGUAAAUUCCAUCUAAGGCUAAAUAUUGAUGAGAGACCGAUAGCAAACAAGUACCGUGAGGGAAAGAUGAAAAGAACUUUGGAAAGAGAGUUAACAGUACGUGAAAUUGUUAAAAGGGAAACAAUUGAAGUUAGACUUGUUAUUAAUAGUUCAACCUUUUUUUGUUAAAAGGAGUAUUCUAUUGAUUAACAGACCAACAUCAAUUUUUGGGUGUUGGAGAAGGGUUUAAGGAAAUGUAGCAGUUUUUGACUGUGUUAUAUUCCUUUUGAGCUUUGAUACAAUGCUUAAGAUUGAGGAAUG
rnacentral:rRNA from 1 species